ACGGAAACCUUUUUUUUUUAUUUUAUUUUAUUUCACGUUAGUAUAAUUUAAAACAAAUUGAAUUGUGUCAAAUAAUGUGUCUUAGUUUUUGGAACAUUUAAUAAUGCUUCUCCUUAAUGCUGUUAACAUUCCUCUAAUUCUUUUUACAGUAUUCCAGUUUCUGGCUCACCCUCUGAAACUGUCCAGAUGCAACAAAAUGAUGGUGAUGAGCCUGGUAUGUCAAAUGAAGGCAGAGGGGAAGAUGAAGAAAGUUAAAUUAAUGCAUAAUACUAAACCGUAGACAGUCUGAAGUGAGAAACCUAUGAAACAGGUGUGAAACUUUUGACAAUGGAGUUGAAAUCUAACAAAGCAAAACUAAAGAAGAAGAAAAUGUCAAUUCUGCAAUUAUGGUGCUCAUUUUACAUUUAUUUUGUUUUACUUUUUGUUACAUUUUUCAAGUAUUCAGUUUGAUUGUUGACUUUUAAGUUAAUUUUGUGUAGUUCAUUUUCAUUUUUAAUUUAUAGAGCUUUGCUGCUUUACUAUUUUGUGCUUCAUUUUCUUCAUCAUUGCAGUAGUACAUUCAUUUAAUCUUGACACUUGUUCUAUUGCUUGGCUUUUUUUUUUCCCUGCGAGGACACUCGCAAGCCCAGACACUCGGACUCCUCGCUCAGUCUCUCAAGCGCCCUGAAAUGUUUGCUGUGUUUGUUCUUCUUUAACACUGUAAAGGCAUGGUGUUAUUUUAGUUUAAGAUCCACUAUUGUCAGUGUGGGCAUGAAUGUGAAUACACCUUACUGAGUAACAUG